rnacentral:rRNA from 1 species
AUUGAACGCUGGCGGCAGGCUUAACACAUGCAAGUCGAGCGAGCGGCGGACGGGUGAGUAAUGUCUGGGAAACUGCCAGAUGGAGGGGGAUAACUACUGGAAAAGGUAGCUAAUACCUCAUACCAUCAGAUGUGCCCAGAUGGGAUUAGCUAGUCGGUGGGGUAAUGGAUCACCUAGGCGACGAUCCCUAGCUGGUCUGAGAGGAUGACAAGCCACACUGGAACGGAGACACGGUCCAAGCUGCUACGGGAGGCAGCAGUGGGGAAUAUUGCACAAUGGGCGCAAGCCUGAUGCAGCCAGGCCGCGUGUGUGAAGAAGGCCUUCGGGUUGUAAAGCACUUUCAGCGAGGAGGCGUUACUCGCAGAAGAAGCACCGGCUAACGCCGUGCCAGCAGCCGCGGUAAUUC